AACCAGCACCUCGAGUGGUCAGGAGGUUUAUUGGGCCUAAAGCAUCCGUAGCCGGUUGCAUAAGUUUUCGGUUAAAUCUAUGCGCUUAACGUAUAGGCCGCCGAAAAUACUGUGCAGCUAGGAGGCGGGAGAGGCAAACGGUACUCAGUGGGUAGGGGUAAAAUCCAUUGAUCUACUGAAGACCACCAGUGGCGAAGGCGGUUUGCCAGAACGCGCUCGACGGUGAGGGAUGAAAGCUGGGGGAGCAAACCGGAUUAGAAACCCUGGUAGU
rnacentral:rRNA from 1 species